UUGACAUAAGCAUCACAUCUAGUUAGGAGCAUUUGAUUCAUUUCGAUCAUAACAUCCUAAUUAUUUGACAUCAGCAUCACAUCUAAUUAUGAGUAUUUGAUUCAUUUUGAUCAUAGCAUCUUAAUUAUUUGACAUAAGCAUGAUACAUGAAACCGAGUCUACAGGACAUAUCCAAGAGGACGGUGUAGUAACAUCGGUGAAGUCAGAUCUUAUCUCCCUGAAGUUGCAGUGGAGCAGACCAAAGAUGGCGAAUCUUAUCUCCAUGUAUCGGCAAUGGAGCAGAUUUUAGCCGCUAGCCUUAUCUUUCUGAGGUAGCAAGAGAGCAGGUUGAAGAUGGUGGUCUUAUCUUCCUAAGGUAACAAGGAAGCAGACUGAAGAUUGAAGAUCUUGUCUCUCUAAGCAGUAGUGGAGUAGAUCGAAGAUGGCGAAUCUUAUCUCCAUGUAUCGGCAAUGGAGCAGAUUUUAGCCACUAACCUUAUCUCCCUGAGGUAGCAAAAGAGUAGGUUGAAGAUGGUGGUCUUAUCUUCCUGAGGUAGGAACGAAGCAGACUGAUGAUUGUAAAUCUUAGCUCCCUAAGCAGUUGAGAAGCAAAUCGAAUACGGCGAAUCUUAUCUCCAUGUAUCGGAAAUGAAGUAGAUUUUAGUCACUAGCAUUAUCUCUCUGACGUAGCAAAAAAGCAGAUUGGCGAUUGUAGGCUUAUCUUCUUGAGGUAACAAGGAAGCAAACUGAAGAUUGAAGAUCUUAUCUCUUUAAGCAGUUGGGAGCAAAUUGAGGAUGGCGAAUCUUAUCUCCAUGUUUCGGCAAUGGAGCAGAUUUUAGCCACUAGCCUUAUCUCUCUAAGGAAGCAAGAGAGUGGGUUGGCGAUUGUAGUCUUAUCUUCCUGAGGCAGCAAGGAAGCAGACUGAAUAUUGAAGAUCUAUUUUCCUAAGCAGUUGUGGAGCAGAUCGAGGAUGGCGAAUCUUAUCUCCAUGUAUCAGCAAUAGAGCAGAUUUAAGCCACCAUCCUAUUUCCUUAAAGUUACAGUCAAGAUUCAGCAAAACAGGGCAAAAUUGGCCCUAUUUGAAGUCUUUGCUCUAUUCUCGUUACACGACAAUAAGUAAAGAGGGACAGCUGUAAUAGGCCCAUUUCGCAUGGGCCCAUAAAAAAACGAAAAAAACAAAAAAAAACCAAAAUAAAUAAAAUAAAAUAAGGUCCAAAGUCCAACAUUACAAAAAGCCCAGCUUUUAGCCUAAUACCAAAUUUACAUUUAACCCACAUACAAUUGAAGCCCAAAUUUUAAACUCAUUUUACAAUAAGGCCCAAUCUUAAAACAGCCCAAAUGGCCCGGGCAAAUUGAAACUUCUGGAACCUUAGGGUUCCCUUGCGCCGCAGCCUUCACAAGCGGCCUCUCCACAUCGCACGUGCUCCUCCGUUCCUCCGUACACCCCACGAACGGCCUCACCAUGUCAGCAGCACCACAACCUUCAUACCCACAACGGACUAACAACUCACAACAGAUUGACAGCAAAUAGAUCUAAGGGAAAAUUUUUUGUAUUUAUUAUUAUUAUUCUUUUUAUUCGACUAUAAAGGCCAGUGAAAUCGAAUGUAAAGAGGAUCUUUUCCACAAAAAAAAUACAAUACAGAUACAGAAAAACAGAGAGUAGGAUUUGACUUUUUCAAAUACAAUGAGAUUUUCCAUUUUUCUUCUCUUUAAGAGGUGAUUGGUGAUUCUGAUUUUCCUUUUUAAGUUUUUUACAACAAAAGAAAAAAAGCAAAAAGAGUGAAAAGAUCGAAAGUACCUUUUCCAGCCAUCGUUAUUCACGAUCGAAAUGGAUUAGUGGCGCAUUUGAGCCCUAGCAGAGGAGAAAGGGAAAAAACCCUUCUGCUCCUUUCGAUUUUGAGGCAAAUGCCUUUGACAGGAAGGUUUCUUUGUUUCUUAUGCAUAAA
rnacentral:lncRNA from 1 species